GACCCGCUUGGGCAUCCAAGCGGUUCGAAAGCUCCGGCGGUGCAGGAUGAGCCCGCGGCCUAUCAGCUUGUUGGUGAGGUAAUGGCUCACCAAGGCGACGACGGGUAGCCGGCCUGAGAGGGCGACCGGCCACACUGGGACUGAGACACGGCCCAGACUCCUGCGGGAGGCAGCAGUGGGGGAUAUUGCACAAUGGGCGAAAGCCUGAUGCAGCGACGCCGCGUGAGGGAUGACGGCCUUCGGGUUAAACCCUUUCAGCAGGGAAGAAGCGAAAGUGACGGUACCUGCAGAAGAAGCGCCGGCUACUACGUGCCAGCAGCCGCGGUAAUACGUAGGGCGCGAGCGUUGUCCGGAAUUAUUGGGCGUAAAGAGCUCGUAGGCGGCUUGUCACGUCGGUUGUGAAAGCCCGGGGCUUAACCCCGGGUCUGCAGUCGAUACGGGCAGGCUAGUUCGGUAGGGAGAUCGGAAUUCCUGGUGUAGCGGUGAAAUGCGCAGAUAUCAGGAGGAACACCGGUGGCGAAGGCGGAUCUCUGGGCCGAUACUGACGCUGAGGAGCGAAAGCGUGGGGAGCGAACAGGAUUAGAUACCCUGGUAGUCCACGCCGUAAACGGUGGGCACUAGGUGUGGGCGACAUUCCACGUCGUCCGUGCCGCAGCUAACGCAUUAAGUGCCCCGCCUGGGGAGUACGGCCGCAAGGCUAAAACUCAAAGGAAUUGACGGGGCCCGCACAAGCGGCGGGCAUGUGGCUUAAUUCGACGCAACGCGAAGAACCUUACCAAGGCUUGACAUACACCGGAAACGUCCAGAGAUGGCGCCCCCUUGUGGUCGGUGUACAGGUGGUGCAUGGCUGUCGUCAGCUCGUGUCGUGAGAUGUUGGGUUAAGUCCCGCAACGAGCGCAACCCUUGUCCCGUGUUGCCAGCAGGCCCUUGUGGUGCUGGGGACUCACGGGAGACCGCCGGGGUCAACUCGGAGGAAGGUGGGGACGACGUCAAGUCAUCAUGCCCCUUAUGUCUUGGGCUCACACGUGCUACAAUGGCCGGUACAAUGAGCUGCGAUACCGCGAGGUGGAGCGAAUCUCAAAAAGCCGGUCUCAGUUCGGAUUGGGGUC
rnacentral:rRNA from 2 species